rnacentral:rRNA from 1 species
CCUACGGGCGGCUGCAGUGGGGAAUUUUGGACAAUGGGCGCAAGCCUGAUCCAGCCAUUCCGCGUGAGUGAAGAAGGCCUUCGGGUUGUAAAGCUCUUUCGCAAGGGAAGAAAACUUAUCCUCUAACAUAGGAUGAGGUUGACGGUACCUUGAUAAGAAGCACCGGCUAACUACGUGCCAGCAGCCGCGGUAAUACGUAGGGUGCGAGCGUUAAUCGGAAUGACUGCGGGUGAAGUUUGCGCUCAGUUGUGAAAGCCCCGAGCUCAACUUGGGAACUGCGUUUGAAACUACAAGACUAGAAUAGGUCAGAGGGGGGUAGAAUUCCACGUGUAGCAGUGAAAUGCGUAGAGAUGUGGAGGAAUAUCAAUGGCGAAGGCAGCCCCCUGGGAUCAUAUUGACGCUCAUGCACGAAAGCGUGGGGAGCAAACAGGAUUAGAUACCCUGGUAGUC